AAGACUAUAGUAACAAGGAUAAAAAGUCGGGCAGAAAAUUUACUGUUAUAUAAUUUACAUUGCAGAAGAAGGGUGCAUCAUUGUAGUUUAUUGUAAAUUUGAUAUUCAAUUAUUUUUUAAUUCAUAUUCAGGUUGAGAUGUGAAUAAUGUCCAACUCACAAAUGAGUAGGUUCUAAUUUAUGUUAUCUUAUUGUCACCGUCGUGUUUAUGUGUAUAUUAAAUGUUUGAUUGGUUAUUCAUCAGUUCAUUUAUUUCAUUCAUUCAUUCAUUCAUUCAUUCCAUUUUCUGUUUCAUCAUACUCAUUAUGACGAUUGACUGAGACUGACGACAUUUCUAAUAUACGUCACUGCACAAUUUCAUAUACACAUCACUACACACCUGAACGAUUUAAAUAGAAUAAAAUAUUAUUGCACGAGCGCGGGAAAAUAUAUGUACGUCUUAUUUAUAUAUAGAGAUUUAGUAUUUCAUUAACUGAAUAGCCGCCUUACAAUGCUGACGCUUAAAUGCUUAAGCAAUAUUUACAGGUUAGUUAAUUUUGUUAAAAGAUUUGUAUAUGUUGAAAUAAAUGUAUAUUUAAAGUUAUUAAAAGUGGUAUCAAAGUCACUGUCUAGUUAUAGCCAUCACGAUAAUUUGGUAUAUGUCAAGUUCACUGUGACAUUAUUGUAAAAUAAAGGCAUGUCUCUGUGCGAACAAUUUCCUCUAUUUUGUUUAACCCAUAUUAUUGCACUUACAGGUAUCUG
rnacentral:lncRNA from 1 species